ensembl:lncRNA
AAAAAAAAAAAAAACAAAACAAAACAAAAAACCCCAAACCCAACCCCUUCAAAUACUCAUCUAAAUUAUUUAUGUUUUAGCUGUAGUCAACUCUCAUUUUCAUCCUUUAGCUUACCACUGGACAAUGGCUAGUUUCUGAGUGAGUCUGCUGAGGAAAAAGAGGGUUGAACAGGUCUUAUGUAGAUUAACAUCCAGCAAGAACCACUAGUUGGGAAGAGGUGGGGCACCUGGUUUAGGACCUGGCUGCACUGUCAUACAUCUGAAUGAGAAAAAAUGGUCUCCUUCCCUGAAUGAGUCAUUUCCUAUUUUUGUCAUCAGUUACUUGCAACUGUGCCUCAGCUGCCCAGAGGGAUGUGGGUUGGAGUCUUUGAGAUGACAAUGAGCUCUGGAUGUGGUGGGGCGGAUCUGUACUUUGCCAGGCUUGUACGUUUUUCCCAUGAACAAUUUCUUCUUUCACAGAUGCAGUUUAUUGCUGGUUCCAAUUCUGAAUGAGAGGUAGCCAGAAUUCAUGAAGAGUUCUUAGCACCUUACUUGGCUUCAUAGGGUGGUCAGAGAAGUUCUUAUCCCAGCUAUCUUCAAAGAAAGACAGAAGAUCUUAAGAACUGCAGGCUGCUAUUACAUCAGUUACUGACUUUUUAAACAUCACAUGAGAGUACAGCCAGUUUCUCGAGAGGAAUUAAUCCACCUGUAGGCUGCAACAAGGUCUAAAUAAGCUGCUUGGCACCAACCUCUAAUUUAUAGUUAGGGUCCUCCACAACCCCCCAUGAUGGACUGAAGCCAGCUGCCUGGGCCAGCACUCAUCUUUCCUACAGCAGGGCUCCUGAAUUGCAGUAGGAAAGCCAUUAUAUUUGGCUGUAGAUCCUAGAGAGGAACUCUUUGAGAGAAACACCAGAAGAGUGGUUUACAUGGCCAGACGUGGGCAUCCAAGUGCCCUUGGAGAUUGCCUGCUGUAUCCAAGUGCUGCUGCAGAAAGAGCUCCAGAGCUCCACAGGUUAUGUGGUGUACUUGUCAGCUCCAUGCAGAUGUCUUGGCUGCUCUAGAACAUCUCAAAGGAUGUGAUAGGCAUACCUGAAGUGAACUAUGCCUGUAUGUGCCUGGCUGGUUGGCUGAAUCACUUCAAGCUGCGUUGACUAGAGCUUCAUUGAUUCUAGUAAGUAGGCUAUCAAGAAAGUUGCCUUCUCUGUGGUCAUUAAAUGAAUAGACAGUCUUGUGCUCCAUGAAUAAUAGAUAAUUAUGGAACAGUAGAAGGAGGUGAUGGUGUCAUACAUUGCUGACACAUCACUACAUUGUGUGUUAUUUCAUCACCUACAGCCUGUUCCCCACCCGUCACGAGGAGGCAAUAAUAAAUCCCACUCUUCUUGAGUUAAAGGGCUUGACUCUUAGUCCACUUAAAGCAAGGGCAUCCAAGUGCAGCCCAGCAGCAGCAACGUGCAGCUGUGGCAAAUUUGGCCCACCGCUGCCAGCUGAAAAUGAAACAGACACAACCAGUGGCACUUUUGUUAGUCUAGACUAGGAUCUCACUGUGGCCCUGUAAAGGAUAUUGUCAGCAAACCUUUUGUCUGUUUUCAAGACAGCCAACCCUGGUCUUUCUUAACUGAGUUUUUGCACGUGACUGAGUGAAUUUAUGUAGUCAGGAUGGUGCAGCGCAGCU